CCUACGGGAGGCUGCAGUGGGGAAUAUUGCACAAUGGGGGAAACCCUGAUGCAGCGACGCCGCGUGAGUGAAGAAGUAAUUCGUUAUGUAAAGCUCUAUCAGCAGGGAAGAAAAUGACGGUACCUGAGUAAGAAGCCCCGGCUAACUACGUGCCAGCAGCCGCCGGAAUACGUAGGGGGCAAGCGUUAGCCGGAUUUACUGGGUGGAAAGGGAGCGUAGACGGCAGUGCAAGUCUGGGGUGAAAGGCGGGGGCUCAACCCCCGGACUGCUCUUGAAACUGGACGGCUGGAGUGCAGGAGAGGUAAGUGGAAUUCCUGGUGUAGGGGUGAAAUGCGUAGAUAUUAGGAGGAACACCAGUAGCGUAGGCAGGUUGCUGGGACGGUUCUGACACUAAGGCGCGAAAGCGUAGGGAGCAAACGGGAUUAGAUACCCGGGUAGUC
rnacentral:rRNA from 1 species